rnacentral:rRNA from 1 species
GGGUCAGUAGGUUGGUCGUGCCACCGGUACGUACUGGUCUCACUGAUUCCUCCUUCCUGAAGAACCGUAAUGCCAUUAAUUUGGUGUUGCGGGGAAACAGGACUGUUACUUUGAAAAAAUUAGAGUGUUUAAAGCAAGCUGACGCUUGAAUACAUUAGCACGGAAUAAUGAAAUAGGACGAUCGAUCCUAUUUUGUUGGUUUCUAGGAUUGACGUA